AAACUCCCCCUUCCUCAGCAUUUUAAAGGCUUAAAUUGAGGGUUUCCCUCAGUUUUACCAGUGGCCCCGCAGUCCUCGCACAGGAUGUGGCCACAGGUGGUGAUGGCGAAGCGGGCACCCUCUUGGCGAAAGCAGCGCCAGCAGUGGAACCAGUCCAUGGCCGCCUCUGGUGCCUCCACACGCGAGAGCUUGGGGAGGAACGAGGGGAAAAGGUGAAAGGAAAAGGGUGGGAAAAGGUGAGAGAAAAAAAGGGUGGAAACGUGAGGGGGAAAAGGGCCAGAAAUGUGAGGGGGAAAAAGGGCCGGAAAUGUGAGGGGAAAAAGGGCGGGAAACGUGAGGGGGGAAAAAGGGAUGGAAACGUGAGGAGGAAAAAAGGGCCAGAAAUGUGAGGGGAAAAAAGACGGGAAACGUGAGGGGAAAAAGGUGGAAUAGGUGAAGGAAAAAAAGGUGCAAAAAGAGAGAAAAAAGAAAGAACAGGAAAUAUGAGAGGGAAGGGCAAGAGAAAAAGGGUGGAGAAAGAGAGAGAAGACGGAGAAAGGGAGAGAGAGAAGAACAGGGUGGGAAAGGUGAGAGAAAAAGGCUGGAAAUGUGAGGGGGAAAAGGAUGGGAAAGGUGAGGGGGGGAAAUUGUGGAAAAAGAGGAAGAUCGGAAGAGCGGUUCAGCAGGCCCCCCCCCCCC
rnacentral:lncRNA from 12 species